AUUGAACGCCGGCGGCAUGCUUUACACAUGCAAGUCGAACGGUAACAGGCCGCAAGGUGCUGACGAGUGGCGAACGGGUGAGUAAUGCAUCGGAACGUGCCCAGUCGUGGGGGAUAACGCAGCGAAAGCUGUGCUAAUACCGCAUACGAUCUAUGGAUGAAAGCGGGGGACCGUAAGGCCUCGCGCGAUUGGAGCGGCCGAUGGCAGAUUAGGUAGUUGGUGGGGUAAAGGCCCACCAAGCCAACGACCUGUAGCUGGUCUGAGAGGACGACCAGCCACACUGGGACUGAGACACGGCCCAGACUCCUACGGGAGGCAGCAGUGGGGAAUUUUGGACAAUGGGCGCAAGCCUGAUCCAGCAAUGCCGCGUGCAGGAAGAAGGCCUUCGGGUUGUAAACUGCUUUUGUACGGAACGAAACGGUCUGGGUUAAUACCCUGGGCUAAUGACGGUACCGUAAGAAUAAGCACCGGCUAACUACGUGCCAGCCGCCGCCGUAA
rnacentral:rRNA from 1 species